rnacentral:rRNA from 1 species
UACGGAGGGUGCGAGCGUUAAUCGGAAUUACUGGGCGUAAAGCGUACGCAGGCGGUUUGUUAAGCGAGAUGUGAAAGCCCCCGGGCGUCAACCUGGGAACCGGCAUUUCGUAACUGGCAAACUAAGAGUGUGAUAGAGGGUGGUAGAAUUUCAGGUGUAGCGGUGAAAUGCGUAGAGAUCUGAAGGAAUACCGAUGGCGAAGACAGCCACCUGGGUCAACACUGACGCUCAUGUACGAAAGCGUGGGGAGCAAACAGGAUUAGAUACCCCCGUAGU